rnacentral:misc_RNA from 1 species
UGUGGGAGCUGGCUUGCCUGCGAUGCAGACAACUCGGUUUUUCAGAUAUACCGAGGUGAUUCCAUCGCAGGCAAGCCAGCUCCCACA